rnacentral:rRNA from 1 species
CAACUUUCAGCAACGGAUCUCUUGGCUCUCGCAUCGAUGAAGAACGCAGCGAAAUGCGAUAAGUAAUGUGAAUUGCAGAAUUCAGUGAAUCAUCGAAUCUUUGAACGCACCUUGCGCUCCUUGGUAUUCCGAGGAGCAUGCCUGUUUGAGUGUCAUGGAAU